AAUUCCCGAUUUUGGAGGCAUUGCCUGCCAGUGACAACUGUUUAACGGCCGCGGUAUCCUGACCGUGCAAAGGUAGCAUAAUCAUUUGUUCUCUAAAUAAGGACUUGUAUGAAUGGCCGCACGAGGGUUUUACUGUCUCUUACUUCCAAUCAGUGAAAUUGACCUUCCCGUGAAGAGGCGGGAAUGCACAAAUAAGACGAGAAGACCCUAUGGAGCUUUAACUAACCAACCCAAAGAGAAUAGAUUUAACCAUUAAGGAAUAACAACAAUCUCCAUGAGUUGGUAGUUUCGGUUGGGGUGACCUCGGAGAAUAAAAAAUCCUCCGAGCGAUUUUAAAGACUAGACCCACAAGUCAAAUCACUCUAUCGCUCAUUGAUCCAAAAACUUGAUCAACGGAACAAGUUACCCUAGGGAUAACAGCGCAAUCCUAUUCAAGAGUCCAUAUCGACAAUAGGGUUUACGACCUCGAUGUUGGAUCAGGACAUCCUGAUGGUGCAACCGCUAUCAAAGGUUCGUUUGUUCAACGAUUAAAGUCCUACGUGAUCUGAGUUCAGACCGGA
rnacentral:rRNA from 1 species